GACCGGACGGAGAAAAAAGUGAAUGAGUCAACAGCAGAACGGGGACAGAGGCUGCAAAUCCCACAAGAAUGAGGAGGAUUUUCAGAGGAAGAUGGAUGAUGAGAACUGUGAGAACUGGGCCAGCUUGGAGUCUCUGUUCCCUGGAAUUCUUGCUAGCAACAAAGAUGAGGUCACUGGAGGAGAA